rnacentral:rRNA from 1 species
ACAGGGGGAUAACAGUUAGAAAUGGCUGCUAAUACCGCAUAAGACUGCAUGGUAAAAACUCCGGUGGUAUGAGAUGGACCCGCGUUGGAUUAGCUAGUUGGCAGGGUAACGGCCUACCAAGGCGACGAUCCAUAGCCGGCCUGAGAGGGUGGACGGCCACAUUGGGACUGAGACACGGCCCAGACUCCUACGGGAGGCAGCAGUGGGGAAUAUUGCACAAUGGGGGAAACCCUGAUGCAGCGACGCCGCGUGAGGAAGAAGUAUUUCGGUAUGUAAACUCUAUCAGCAGGGAAGAAAAUGACGGUACCUGACUAAGAAGCCCCGGCUAACUACGUGCCAGCAGCCGCGGUAAUACGUAGGGGGCAAGCGUUAUCCGGAUUUACUGGGUGUAAAGGGAGCGUAGACGGAAUGGCAAGUCUGAUGUGAAAGGCCGGGGCUCAACCCGGGACUGCAUUGGAAACUGUCAAUCUAGAGUACCGGAGGGGUAAGUGGAAUUCCUAGUGUAGCGGUGAAAUGCGUAGAUAUUAGGAGGA